AAUGAAAGUGUAGAGAAAGAGAAUGAGGAAAUCAAAAAGGAAGUAGAGGACACAGAAACUGGAGAAAGUAUUGAGGAAAAGAGUCACUUAGAAAAUGAAGAGAGCAAAGAAACUGGAGAAAUUAGUGAGGAAAAGAGUCAUUUAGAAAAUGAAGAAAGCAAAGAAACUGGAGAAAGUAGUGAGGAAAAGAGUCAUUUAGAAAAUGAAGAGAGCAAAGAAACUGGAGAAAGUAGUGAGGAAAAGAGUCAUCUAGAGAAUGAAGAGAACAAAGAUGAAGAAAAGAGUAAGCAAGAAAAUGAAGAGAUUAAAGAUGGAGAAAAGAUUCAGCAAGAGAAUGAAGAGAACAAAGAUGAAGAAAAGAGUCAGCAAGAGAAUGAAGAGAACAAAGAUGAAGAAAAGAGUCAGCAAGAGAAUGAAUUGAAGAAAAAUGAAGGGGGAGAGAAAGAAAC
rnacentral:lncRNA from 1 species